GGGGUACUCGAGCGAACACUUAUACUAGCCAUUGCACCACUAAGACCAUGCAGAGCUAUGGCUUCACGGAAGGGUUGCAAAUCAGUCUCUACAGAUGAGCUAGUUUCUGUUGAAGUAGCUCGGUUAGGGGAUACUACAGUCAGUCUUGGAGGAGCUCUAGAAUUUCUUGGAGGAGGAACUUUUCCACAUAGGAAGCUGAUCAAGUCUUCUCUACGAAUAGUUCUUCUGCGUUUUUUAACCCAAGCUAACACAUCCUUAUUCCGACGUUGAUAGCCAAUCUGAAUUCCUACAUCAAAGCUUCGCUGAUGGGCAUCCACACUUUCUUUGUAGAGGUUGGUGACCGCAGUGGCCGCGUUCUGGAAAGGGACCCAAAGGGAGAGCCCCGGCUGCUGGCACACCCGGUCCUUGUACAGCUGGGCCACGGCGGUGGCCGAGUUCUGGAAGAGGUGCCACAGCUUCUGCUGCUUGUGCUCGGGCUGCGCCGCCGCCUCGUCCUGCAGCUCCGGCGCCAGCGCCUCCUCCUGCUCGGCCUCGGCGAGACACUGCCGCUCCCACUUGCUGAACCAGUGCUCGGGCCCGUGCUCCUGGAUCUCCGCCUCUCCUUCCUCCUUCUUGUCCUCCAUCCUCCGGCCGGCUCCGCGACCCCUCCGCCUCCUCGCAGGCCCGGCCCAGCCGAACAGCCGCACUAGCCCUCCUUCCUCCUCCUCCGCCGGCCCUACCUCACCCCCAUUCUGCCGGGCCCUGCCGGCGCGUCCCCCAGCUCCAAACACACUGAGCGACGGCGCCGCCCCGAGCGCAAUAAAAGCCCGGCGGAGCCGCCCGGGAACGCGCAGCCGCCCAACUCCGCCCCGCAGCGCCAUUGGACACCUCUACCCCGGCACCGCCGGUUUGAACAGCAGCGCUGCGCGGCACUGGUUCUUACGCACGUCAAUCCGGCGCUGCGUCACGGGGGGCGGGGCCGAGCGGUAGAUGGGUUGUGUCGUCAUCGACUCGUGCGCAGACGUUGCCGGUCGCGCGGCGCAGGCGCGGUGCCCUCCCCAGCCGCCUCGGCGCGGCCUCGCCCCUCCCCCUGGCGUGAGGCACGGUCCUGAGCCGGCCCCGCCCGCCGCCGCCCCUCGGCCCCCGCCGGGUCCGCGCGGCGGCUACGGGCCUGAGGCAAAGAUGCGGCUGCGCGGGCAGUGGCGCGCCGAGGUUAGGGCACGGUGGUUUUGCUGCUCUUUUCCAUAUCGACGCUGAGGCGGAGUAAGGUGGUGCCCCGCCUCGGGUUUCCCCCCGCUUUUGGUACGGGGGGAGCGAAGACCAUAAGCGUCAACCGGCCGCGUCCCGACCCGGCGGAGGGGCGGAUCUGCGCCCGACGGAUGGCUGCCCCCGCCCGGCGGGAAGAUGGCCGCCCGCCGUGCGGGUCGCGGUGCCUCCAGGCCCGGCUGCUGCCCGGGAUGUGUGGUGUGGGCCGGGAGGGGUGCGUGCAGCACUCGUACCCUUCUGACUCUUUUCCUACGAUUUUUAUAUUCUUACUUAUCGUUUACUUUGUAUCAGAAAGCAUUCUGGCAGACGGACGUAAGGCAGGAUUCCUUUGUGCCCGCUCAAAACACUUCAUCAGAGCACCUUAUGAUCUCUGCGAAAUACAUGCUCGUGUCUAAGUGCUCCAGCCAUGCUGCUUUAAGUCAAAGCAAAUGCUCCCCCAGCCCAUGUGCAGGGCAAGCCGUGGCUCGCAAUGGACGCUGCUGUGGGAGCAGGCAUGUGGUGCUUCCCGCUCUCCGUGCCCCCUGUGAAAUACCUGGGGCUCCACAAAUAACCGGCUCCAACCACAGAGCAUCUGAUGCAGUGCAAUGCCCUUGUGUGCUGGGAGCAGGGAACCUCCUGUCCGUGGUCAUGAGCCAGCACAUAGCUCUGAGGGCACGGCCGGGCUCUGGCUGCAGCGCUGCGCAGCACUGUGGGAGCUGUAGUUUCCCGGGGCUGUCAGGGAACUGCAGGCUCUGCUGCAGCGCGAGAGGAACAGUCAGUGAGGAAGUUUUCUCAGCUCAGCAAGGAGAGCUGGGGGAAGAUGACUGAGUGCGUGUCAGAGCGAGGAAGGAGGAGGAUGACUUCAACGGGCGCUCUUGCAAGGGCAGCCUGGUGAGGAACGAGCAGUGAGGCAGCACUGAGGAGCGUUCUCCAGGAGAAGGCCUGGCAGCACAUGGUGACUGCUGGCCUCCUAGCAGAGGACUUGGGUCUCACCUGUGACUGAGAUGAGGGUGACAGUGGAUCCGAGUGAUGGGGUAAGAGAGAAGGACUGCAGUGAUGCAGUUCCUACAGAGCUCCCAUCCUCUCCUUUGAUCCCAAAGAGAGAAGAGAUUUACACCUCAAUUUGUACCUCAAAUAAGCUCUUAGGCCAAGAGGGAAACUGAGCUUGUUGCUGUAUCAUAAUUUUAGCACAAGCAUGAUACCAGUGCAAGUAUGUAAUUCCCUAUUCUAGAGCGGGAGAUGCUGAUAUAAGCUAGAUAUCAAUAGAUACAUAAUUUACUGUCCUGCUAGCUGUAACUUAAUUAUUUAACUGUUUGGGUUUGAUUUGGUUUUGUUUUAAUGCAGCCCUGGAUUAGGUGCCCACUGAGUCAAGGUUACUUAACCGCUACAAUGUAAGUUGGCUCUGCAAUUCACAGUAACUGCAAUUUCUAAUGGCGUUGCUGUCAGCUAUACCAGUUCCAAGAAUCCUUCCUCAGUUUCUUCUGCACUGGUCUUGUGAGCAGGACAAUACACUCUGAGGGUAUUGGCCAACAUCAAGGUCCUUUAUGCUUCUAGAGAUGCUUAAAGUGGAAUUAACAUAGGUUUAUAUCAUUUUGUUCUUAAGACAUGCAAUUUAAUUUAUGGGUUAGGCUGAAUUGUGAUAAAAAACAAACAUCCUUGUAUAGCUUUAUGGCCAGUCUUCACAUACCAAGCAUGUUUUCUCUUUUUAGACCACUGAGACUCAGAACAUCUUGCUUAUGGGUUGUGCUAUGCCACUCCAUUUGAGUAGAAAGGAGUGUCCACGCCUGUGUACAUUCUUAACCUGAAGUUGUGGCGCUGGCUUUUUUAUAAGUACUUUGUAACACUAAUGCACAUAUACAGCAGCGUGGAUAUUGUCUUCCAUUCUAGGUAUGGCUCUGUCAAGUCCUUGGUUAGGAUUAAGAACUUCAGCAGGUUUAGAAAUAGUCCUAGGCGUGAGCUAUGGGGUCUUUGUGAAAGCACAAAGGUAGCGUUUAAAGGAAGGGAACAAUAAAUAAAUAAAUAGAUUAAAUGUUGGCAAUCUAUGAAAUUGGUUUGUAAAUCACGCACUGAUCAGUAGGCUGUUAAGUAUAUUCCAUGCUGAGGCAGAUUUUUUUCUCCUAUGAAACUGUUUUGAGGAAAACAAAAAGUGAAACUGUGUUCUCUAUUGAAUAGGAUUUCUUACAAGCCACCUAUAACUUGGAAACGUUCAUUAUAUAUGUUCUCAAAUUGUUUAAAUGUUGAAAGGCAUCCAAUAGGAAUGUCUGAUGAGAUUGCAUUCAAACACUACUCCUAUAAAUAGGUCCUUAAUUCCAC
rnacentral:lncRNA from 1 species